UUCUUCUGCAUCUUAAUUCUUCUUUUUCCCCAUAGUAUUAGAGUAGGUUUAAAACCUUGCAAUAUUGUCGUUCUUUUCGAUUUUCUUUAGUUCAUUGUUCCUACUAUGUCGAGUACUUCACAAACUUCAGAAACAAUGGUAGAAACCACAACCAUUGGUGAUGGCACUAUUUCUGUUGAAUACACUAUGAUGUCGAUGCAGGACAUCCUUAUUAUCUUCAUCCCUUGAAUUACCCAGGGAUGAAUCUCGUUUCUUCUGCAUUUGAUGACAAAGGAUAUGGAGGUUGGAGGAGAGCAGUGAUGAUAGCUCUUUCGGCAAAAAAUAAGUAUAAAUUCACUGAUAGAUCUCUAGCCUUACCUCAUAUGAAUCAGGCUUAUAGAGGGCUUGAACAUGCUGUAAUGUCAUGGUGUUUUUAUGUCUAUUCAAUUCUCUUUUCAAAGAAAUUAUUGAAAGUGUGUUACACUAAAGAAGUGUGAAGGAUCUAUCGAAUGACCUGGAAGAAAGAUUUUGUCUUACAAAUGCAGCAAAAUUAUUUCUACUUCAAAAGGAAUUUAGUGCAAUAACUUAAGACCAAUGAAGAUCUCACAAAGAAUGGAGUUGUCGAGUCAAAGUCUUUAAGCCAGGAAAAUAUAGGACGUUGCAAUAACUUCUUCAGCAGCUAAAGACUGACUAGUAGAAUGGAGAAGGAUCUGAGGAUCUUGCAAAUAUGUUUGUUGCUGGGCCCUCCACUGAAAACCGCUCAGAAGAUUGAUAGAUAACAAGGAGGACUCUACAUACUAAAAUCAAGCCAGUCGGAAAAUUCAGUCAACUAGACCUCUAGAUCUAUUUUUAUUUUUAAUUCAUGCCUAGUCGAAAAACAUGCCAAUUCUAAUUCAAUUUCUAAUUCUUGUCUUGUUUUAUCUGAUUCAAAUUUAAAAGAAAUAUUAUGGCACUAUAGAUUAGGACAUAUGCCUUUGACUAAUAUAAAGGAUGUUUCUUUUAUUCUAUUUUCUCUUGUAAAUUUUUUUUAUAUUCCUUGUGCUAUUUUUCCUUUGGUAAGACAAUCCAAACUCCAU